AGACAGUUUAGCUUCAGGACCAGCCAUACCUGCUGAUUAGGAUGAGCCGGUUCGUCCUGUGUGGGCAACCAGUUAAUGAAAAUAAUGGAGGAACAAAAAUACUAAUAAACAAUGAAAAUAAAGAAGAGAAAAAAUAAAAAAGGCAAAAAGCAAGCAAGCAUUGUAAAAUAGGUGACUAUGGUCCCAGCUGUAAGAGGUCAAAGACAAGAUUCCCCCAUGUAGUUCUGGGCUGAUUCUUCACUGUUCCCACGAUCAUUGAAACUGCACAAGGCUGCUCAUAUAAUGUCUUUCUUGUAACCAAAUGUGCGACUCCCCAGGACAUAUGAGAGAGCCAAAUGUUACAAUGGUAUAAAGCUGUAAGAUGGCACCAAUUGAGAUUUUAUUACCCAAAGGAUAUGAGGCACACAGCAAACCUUUUCUUUGCUGUUCGCAUCCAAAUAUAAAAGAGAAAUUCACUAAGAGGGGCAUGAAUAA